rfam:Operophtera brumata OBRT01_Sc08675, whole genome shotgun sequence.
CACAAGGCCCUAUUCAGGGCCACUUAAACUAACCAGGUGACUCAGU